CUCCUUUGANGUUAGCGGCGGACGGGUGANUAACACGUGGGUAACCUACCUAUAAGACUGGGAUAACUUCGGGAAACCGGAGCUAAUACCGGAUAACAUUUGNAACCGCAUGGUUCUAAAGUGAAAGAUGGUUUUGCUAUCACUUAUAGAUGGACCCGCGCCGUAUUAGCUAGUUGGUAAGGUAACGGCUUACCAAGGCGACGAUACGUAGCCGACCUGAGAGGGUGAUCGGCCACACUGGAACUGAGACACGGUCCAGACUCCUACGGGAGGCAGCAGUAGGGAAUCUUCCGCNANUGGGCGAAAGCCUGACGGANCAACGCCGCGUGAGUG
rnacentral:rRNA from 1 species